rnacentral:rRNA from 1 species
GAUGAACGCUGGCGGCGUGCCUAAUACAUGCAAGUCGAGCGAAUGGAUUAAGAGCUUGCUCUUAUGAAGUUAGCGGCGGACGGGUGAGUAACACGUGGGUAACCUGCCCAUAAGACUGGGAUAACUCCGGGAAACCGGGGCUAAUACCGGAUAACAUUUUGAACCGCAUGGUUCGAAAUUGAAAGGCGGCUUCGGCUGUCACUUAUGGAUGGACCCGCGUCGCAUUAGCUAGUUGGGGAGGUAACGGCUCACCAAGGCAACGAUGCGUAGCCGACCUGAGAGGGUGAUCGGCCACACUGGGACUGAGCAACGGCCCAGACUCCUACGGGAGGCAGCAGUAGGGAAUCUUCCGCAAUGGACGAAAGUCUGACGGAGCAACGCCGCGUGAGUGAUGAAGGCUUUCGGGUCGUAAAACUCUGUUGUUAGGGAAGAACAAGUGCUAGUUGAAUAAGCUGGCACCUUGACGGUACCUAACCAGAAAGCCACGGCUAACUACGUGCCAGCCGCCGCGGUAA